GAAAUUCCACUGCAAAAUCUUCACCUCAGAAAAUUGACGUCCUUUGUGGAAUUGGAAUAAAAAAGGUUGCUUGUGGAACUCAGUUUUCUGUUGCUUUGACCAAAGAUGGUCAUGUGUAUACCUUUGGUCAAGGUGGUGAGUAGUCACUAUGACCUCCUUUCAGUAUAGAUAAUUUUCCACUUCUCUUUCAUGUGCUUUAUUAUAAAGACAAACUCCCCUCCCCAUUAAGACCCCUUAUGCCAGAGCCAGCACUCUUGCUAGAAGAGUCCCUGCCAAGGGCCGUCCCCUCUUCUUUUCUACUGCCCUUGACAUGCUGCCACAAAUACUGCCUUGACCAUCAGAGCUCCUCUGUGUCCUGCCUCAUUCUUCAUCCCUUCUAGGGACUGGGGCUGCAGAUCUUAGGAACUGGAGGAAUUCAUAGGCACUCUGGGUUCAAAUCUUGAGUAGAUCGCCUGAUAGGCUUGCCAGAGGGGCGUGCUCGCAAUCACAAUCGACCGCAACAAAUCCCUGUCCUGGCUGGAGUAAUCAUAGAAGAUGUGGCAGUUGGAGCU
rnacentral:lncRNA from 1 species